ensembl:misc_RNA
UCUAGACCAAAUCUAUCUAAAAAUGAUGGCAUAAAUAUUCUCAUUAAUAUUUCAUGAGAAAUGAACACUCAAGAUGAAACAUUUUUUAUGAAGAAGGAUGGUAACGUACAC